GCAAAGAAGCAGAACAUCCUUCUUUAACACACGCAUGAUAAAACAUUUAUUAUUUUGACCAAUAAAUGAGGGAAUAAGCUUUAACACGUAUAGUUUAGUCUCACAUUUAUCGGUCAAAAUAAAAAAUCUUUUCAUGCAUGUGUUGAAGAAGGAUGCUCUUCUUUUUGC